GAGAGAAACAUCUAAGAUGGUUUCUUGGUUUCUUGCCAGAACUAUCUGGAAGGAAAGUAAUGGGAGAUUCUAGACUCCACAAAGGCUGAGGCCUCAUCCUUUCCCCUUACCCCAUCCCAGCACCCCACAGGGCCUGCAUGGGGUGGGUGCUCAAUACAUAAAUAUUUGUUGAAUGAAUUUGAUGCCAGCAGUGGGGAGGGGGACCAAGGGAAGGAUAACAGGCUUGGAGGGGUGUUCACAGUAUGGUCAACGUUAAGAUACCCACAGGACCAUCAUGUCAGGCUGGCCUGUGGGCUGCCAGACAUGCAGCCUUGGAGAGAGGUGCUGGAGGGAGAUAUAAACUUUGGAGCCAAUAGCAACCAAGUGAAAACAAAAGCCACACGUGGGUUUAAAGUCCAGAGAUGGCUCAGAUCUCUCAGCGGGCUCCAUGAGAUUUGUCAUAAUAAUUAGAGACAAUCUCAGAUGCUGGGUGUAAAGGGAGCACGGUGACAGAUGAAUGUAAACUAAUUAUCCUCACAGCAACCUUGAGAAACAGGAAUGUGCAUGCAUGUUUCCUUGCUAAGAUACGGAGAGGAAAAAGGACCAGGAGAGUUGCAUGAUGUCCCAGAAGGCUGCCAGAGCCCUGGCACAGCUGCAGGAACACCCAGGAACUCCUUCCUCCACUAUCCACCCUUGGAAAUGUCAGCAUGGGUACUUUCCUCAUCAAGGAAUGAUUUUAAGAAUUUGUUUUCAAAAUAAAAAGGGGUUUUAGAGUUGGGAAGCCCUGCUGGUUGUAAUCAGAUGUGUUUUAUGGGACCAUUCACCAGCACUUGAAGAACAGGGAUGACCUAUAAAUGUAUUCAUGGAUUCAGACCCAGGGCAGGUUUCAUGGGCUGAUUACAAAUGCCUUGGGGAUGGCAUCAGCAUUCAGGAGACACAGUCACCCCUGAACACCAGCCACAGUGCCAUACACACCUUCACCACCUGCACUCCCACCUCCUCCUCAUCCCUGCUGCUGUGAUGCCAACUCCUCAGUCUCAGCAGCUCCUGGAAGCUCUAGGACACCUUUCAAGAAAACCACAAGUCCUUAUCCAGAUCAGGGCAGCCCAGGACAUUAUCUUUGUCCCCUCAACCCACAUAAGCCCAGCCUAUUCAGCCUAAUCCGCAUGACUUCCUCAAUCAGCCUGGCAUCCCACUCUACCAGGUCCCCCUCCCACCUCCUCCACCAUAAUAAGUUUUAUGCAGAGGGUAUAGCACUUGAAGCUAGGCUGACCUGGCCUCCAGUCCUGACCACUUAGACCCUGAUCUUGCAUGAGUCAGUCUCAGAGACUCAACUUUCCCAUCCAUGAAAGAUCUCUCUCCUUGUCUGUACCCUCCUGGGCCUAGCACCAUGCUUGGUGCACAUUUGGUGGUGGUCCACAGAUGCCACGUGGAUGCAUAAAUGCACGGCUUCCUGAGAGGAUGACACAGAUGCACGUGGAUUUUUAUCACUUGCUGAAUGGAAGUGAGACUUAACAGGGACCUCUUAGGAGCCUAUGGGCUCCCCCAAGCAUAAAAACAAAAAAACAAAAAAACUUCUUCCUUUCCUUCAAGGGAAAUUUCAGGCACCUAGCUUUCCCUGAGAAGUAAAUGUGAUAAGGAAGAAGGUAAUACUAGCUUAAGACCAUAGCCAAGGAAGUUAGAAUCAUGGGAUGCUUGGUUCCCUGGUAGAAACUAGAGAUAACAUCUUAACACAGGUCACUGAGUUGUUUUUCAGAAACCUGGAUCCCCACCAAAUGGAUCUGCUGGCACCUAGACUUCAGCCAUCUAGGAGUUGGGGUUUUAAGUGUGACCGCCCAAUUCGCCUUACUUGCUGCCCUGCAAAUAAAUGCCUUCCUUUCAUCUGCUGCAAACCUUGGUGUGGACGUUUUGGCCUUACUCUGCCAGGUAAGCAGACACCAGUUAGGUUUGAGAACAGAUGCGCUUAGUAAAAUAAAUUGCUUCCAGAUGCUGGUGAUACCAUCUCGGCCUCCUCUUGGUAUCCUGGUUGGCUCUCUAUUUGAAAGCCUCGCCCAGGCAUGGUGGCUCAGGCCUGUGAUCCCAGCACUUUGGGAGGCCAAGGCAGGCAGAUCACCUGAGGUCAGGAGUUCGAGACCAGGCUGGCCAACAUGGCAAAACCCCAUCUCUACUAAAAAUACAAAAAUUAGCUGGGUGUGGUGGUGGGCACCUGUAAUCCCAGCUACUCAGGAGGCUGAGGCUGGGAGAAUCACUUGAACCCAGGAGGUGGAGGUUGCAGUAAGCUGAGAUCAUACCAUUGCACUCCAGCCUGGGCAACAGAGUGAGACUCCAUCUCAAAAACAAACAAACAAAAAAACCCAAAAACAAAACAACAAAAAGCCUCUGUCCAUCUUCUGUUGCACAAAUCCCUCCUCACUCUCUGAGUCCUGGUGGAGCUCCAUGUUCCUCAUGCAGCCCUCCUGGCUGCCCCCAGCUGGCACAACUCCAUCGUCUGGCUGCUAUCCGCCUUUUGGUCAGUACACUUAGUUUGCACUAGACUGGCAUCACCCAACUGAGUUCUAAGGCCGACAAGGUGCUGUUUCAUAUUUUCUCUGUUUUUGUUCAUUACAUAGACCCCAAAUACAGGCAGGCUGAGCAGUCAGUUGCAAAAUCAGUCACCAGAAAGGAUUCUGAGAUUAAUCACCCUGUAACAUAAUCUUAAAAUACUGAUUUUGGACUUGGGACACCGCCUAGGCACUGGUAUGUUCAUGGGUUCGUACAUACAUGUACACAUGUGUGCACACCCACUUUGGGGAUGGGAUAGUAUUUGCUUUUCUUUGAAGUUUCACUGAGCUGCCUCCCAGUACAGAGGGGCCCAGGUCUGGGCCUGGAGAUGGUACACAUGGUGUAAGAAAGGUUUCUCUAUCCCCUGGGGCUGGUUGACUGUGAUGUGGCUGCUGCUUUCCCUACUGAUAUGAGGUGCAUGAGGAGGAGUGGAAAGGGACAAAGCUGUGCAGCUUGAGCCCAGGAAGGGACACUGCUGUCAGGCCUCUGAGCCCAAGCUAAGCCAUCGUAUCCCCUGUGACCUGCACGUAUACGUCCAGACGGCCCAAAGCAAGUAAAGAGUCACAAAAGAAGUGAAAAUGGCCGGUUCCUGCCUUAACUGAUGACAUUCCACCAUUGUGAUUUGUUCCUGCCCCACAUUAACUGAGUAAUUAACCUUGUGAAAUUCCUUCUCCUGGCUCAGAAGCUCCCCCACUGAGCACCUUGUGACCCCCACCCCUGCCCGCAAGGGAACAACCCCCUUUGACUGUAAUUUUCCGCUGCCCACCCAAAUCCCAUAAAACGGCCCCAUCCAUCUCUCCCUUUGCUGAUUCUCUUUUUGCACUCAGCCUGCCUGCACCCAGGUGAUUAAAAAGC
rnacentral:lncRNA from 1 species